UUGCACCACUUUUAAUUCCGUUUAUGGAAUACAUAUUAAAAAAUAAACUACCAUAUUUAGCCACAUAGAUCUUCUAUUUUCCUGCUUAAACCGUUAUCACACUUCCACCAAAAAAUUCGCCGCGAAAAAUAUAUUCCAAACCAAUAUUCAUGGUGUUCCCAUGAUUCAUCGACGUGCCUUGAUAUACGACAUCAUAUUUUAUAGUAGAAAAAUAAUGAGAUCGAUAAGUUUUCAUUGUUGAAAUCGAAGCAUGGACCGUAUACACAUAACGCGACGCCAUAACGGAAAUUGGAUAAUAAAUCUCUGUGUUUUACUUUGUAAUUUAAACAUAAUUAUUUCACAAUCUUGCAAUUCAAACAACGGUUUGUUGGGAAACAAUUUCCAAAUAUUUUAUCUCCGAUUCUGGGGGAAUAUAUUUUUAAUUUGGCGUCGAUUUAUUUUAGAGACGGUAGAUGGAUUGCCCGAAAAUUGGCCUUGCCAGUGGAACUCCGGACAGAUACCGUUUGUUUUUAAUUUUUAUUCGAUAGGCAUUAAGCGAUUAUCAAGCCUCGUGAAAAAAGGUCACAGUUACUUAGAAAAGCGGUCUUGUUUGAAAUUUACUGAACACCACCCGGUAGAGGCCGCGAAAAUGAAGAACUUUACUUAUCUUUUCUAUAAUUAUUCCGGGGUGCUUGAAAGUUGUUGCUUACAUUAUUAUACCAAACCUUUUGGAAGACGGUUAGUACUAAUAACGCCAGUAUGUACCCUACCGUCGGAGGUAGCUCACGCCGCUCUCCACGCCAUGGGCCUCUCGCAUAGGAAAUACGAGCUCUUCAAUGAAGUCACCACCAAGGCUAUGCUGUUCCCGACCGAGUGCCACGAUGCGGAGCAAAAGAAAAGAAUAUUUGAUAGAAUUCAUUAAAAUAUUUGAUUUUUUAAGAAACAUAUUUAAUGAUUGCUUAACAAGGCUUUCACACAAAUAUAUCCCACCAAAAACAUUAAAUGUAAAAAAAGCCAAUCCUCUACGCAAUUCCUCCACCGUAAAAAGUUUUGAGAUCGCAUAGAAGCCAAGUCCCGUUCAA